GUGGGGAAUUUUGGACAAUGGGCGCAAGCCUGAUCCAGCCAUUCCGCGUGCAGGAUGAAGGCCUUCGGGUUGUAAACUGCUUUUGUACGGAACGAAAAGGUUCUCUCUAAUACAGGGGGCUGAUGACGGUACCGUAAGAAUAAGCACCGGCUAACUACGUGCCAGCAGCCGCGGUAAUACGUAGGGUGCAAGCGUUAAUCGGAAUUACUGGGCGUAAAGCGUGCGCAGGCGGUGAUGUAAGACAGGUGUGAAAUCACCGGGAGCAACCUGGGAACUGCAUUUGUGACUGCAAUGCUGGAGUGCGGAAGAGGGGGAUGGAAUUCCGCGUGUAGCAGUGAAAUGCGUAGAUAUGCGGAGGAACACCGAUGGCGAAGGCAAUCCCCUGGGCCUGCACUGACGCUCAUGCACGAAAGCGUGGGGAGCAAACAGGAUUAGAAACCCUGGUAGUCC
rnacentral:rRNA from 1 species